AGUGAACGCUGGCGGUAGGCCUAACACAUGCAAGUCGAACGGCAGCACAGUAAGAGCUUGCUCUUACGGGUGGCGAGUGGCGGACGGGUGAGGAAUACAUCGGAAUCUACUUUUUCGUGGGGGAUAACGUAGGGAAACUUACGCUAAUACCGCAUACGACCUACGGGUGAAAGCAGGGGAUCUUCGGACCUUGCGCGAUUGAAUGAGCCGAUGUCGGAUUAGCUAGUUGGCGGGGUAAAGGCCCACCAAGGCGACGAUCCGUAGCUGGUCUGAGAGGAUGACCAGCCACACUGGAACUGAGACACGGUCCAGACUCCUACGGGAGGCAGCAGUGGGGAAUAUUGGACAAUGGGCGCAAGCCUGAUCCAGCCAUACCGCGUGGGUGAAGAAGGCCUUCGGGUUGUAAAGCCCUUUUGUCGGGAAAGAAAAGCAGCAGGUUAAUACCCCGCUGUUCUGACGGUACCCAAAGAAUAAGCACCGGCUAACUUCGUG
rnacentral:rRNA from 1 species